AACGAACGCUGGCGGCAUGCCUAACACAUGCAAGUCGAACGAGAUCUUCGGAUCUAGUGGCGCACGGGUGCGUAACGCGUGGGAAUCUGCCCUUGGGUUCGGAAUAACAGUUAGAAAUGACUGCUAAUACCGGAUGAUGACGUAAGUCCAAAGAUUUAUCGCCCAAGGAUGAGCCCGCGUAGGAUUAGCUAGUUGGUGAGGUAAAGGCUCACCAAGGCGACGAUCCUUAGCUGGUCUGAGAGGAUGAUCAGCCACACUGGGACUGAGACACGGCCCAGACUCCUACGGGAGGCAGCAGUGGGGAAUAUUGGACAAUGGGCGAAAGCCUGAUCCAGCAAUGCCGCGUGAGUGACGAAGGCCUUAGGGUUGUAAAGCUCUUUUACCCGGGAUGAUAAUGACAGUACCGGGAGAAUAAGCUCCGGCUAACUCCGUGCCAGCCGCCGCCGUAAAAC
rnacentral:rRNA from 1 species